CGGAACACGUACAGAACCUUCCUUUAAGCGGGGGAUAGCCCAUAGAAAUGUGGAUUAAUAGCCCAUAGUAUUGUUGAGUGGCAUCACUUAAUAAUUAAAGAUUUAUCACUUAAAGAUGGCUGUGCGGCUGAUUAGGUAGUUGGUAGGGGUAACGGCCCACCAAGCCAGCGAUCAGUAACUGGUGUGAGAGCACGACCAGUCACACGGGCACUGAGACACGGGCCCG
rnacentral:rRNA from 1 species